AUGAGGCGCUGCAGGGGAGAAUGGCUCCCCGCGCCGUGCAUCAUCUCCGUGCUGCUCUUCCUACCAAUGGCCUGCGGACGAUUGCUCAUUGGCCCAAGCGACACGUCGCCGCCACCUGCGCUGACACCAACCUUCAUCAAGCAAGUUGACGAUUGGGUGGAACACGCGUGGCUCAAAUGUGGAUUGGACAAGAAAAGCCUUCAAGAUGUUAGAAACUACUACGACUACAACCAUGUACUUGAUAUCAUCCAUAGGAUAUCUGAUAAUAAGGGAACUUCCCCUGUCAUUGGAAAAGGUGCAGGCCCACUGACACCAGAUAUCAAGCAAACUUUGCUGACCUGCUUAAGCAAACAGAAUUUUGAGGUUCCAAAAAACCUACCCGAUGGUUAUAUCGAAACACUUAUCGCCUCAAUAAGAGAAGAGCUGACUCCGGGACCUGCUCCUGCAAAUGAAGCAGUAAAACCUCCGCCAGGGAAACCAGCUGACGGUUCUUCAUCAGAAGCAACUACAAAAAAGGCAGUGCCUGCAACUAAAUCAGUGGGGAAAAAAGACAGCGAUGGCAUGCCAACUACCACUAUCGUUGGUGUGUCCCUGGUUGUUAUCGCACUUUUAGCUCUUCUCUGCGUUGGCUGCUGCAUGUUCCGUGAAAGUUCUGCGGCUUCUGCCUAUGAUAAUAAGCAACUCCUGAAUCUAUCGGAUUCUUGCAAGUCUUCCAGUGUAAAUCUAAUAGAUGUCACUAAGCUGGGAGCAUUGCCAUUGCAGUCAGAGGCUGGCCAAAAUGGCCAUGUGAAUCAAAGUUCACAGGAAGGCCCAAACACUGAUCAAGUUGGCUAUGUGAGACUAAGUUCACAGGAAGGCCCAAACACUGAUCAAAAUAACCAUGUGAAACUAAGCUCACAGGAAGACGCAAACACUGAUCAAAUUAGCUAUGUGAAACUAAGCUCACAGGAAGACCCAACCAGUGGUCGAAAUAGUGAUGUGAAGCUAACUUCGCAGGAAGACCCAAACACUGGCCAAAAUAACCAUGUGAAGCUCACUUCACAGGAAAGUGCAAACACUGAUCCAGCAAUCUACAGCAGUUCCGCCGAGCCAAUGGCUGCUUCUGUUGAUUCUGAGCAAGGAUCAACACCAAUGCCUCAACCAAUGAUGCCACCUCCAGCACAUCCUCAAGUACUUGCGCCUCAACCAAAGGCUCCUCCUUCACCACCAGCUCCUCAAGCACUUGAGCUGCCUCCGAAUGCUUCUCCAGUUCUUUCCUCUGGACCUUCACCGCCACCAGCUCCAAAAGCCUCCCCGCCUCCGCCCUCAGGACCCUCACCACCUACUGCUCCAAAAGCUGCACCACCACCACCACCACCAUCAAAAUCUGGUGGACCUCUCCCGCCACCACCAGCGCUGCCUGGUUCUUCCAAAACGCGCCCACCACCACUUAUGAAGUCAGGCAAUAAAACAGACACAGAUGAGGAUUCUAGUGAAGCUAAAACAAAGCUUAAGCCCUUCUUUUGGGAUAAAGUAGCAACAAAUGCUAAUAAAUCAAUGGUGUGGGAUCACCUUAAAGCUGGAUCAUUCCAGUUAAGUGAGGACGCUAUUGAAACACUUUUUGGUUGUAAUGCUGACAAGAAGAGUGGUGAUGCCAAAAAAGAUAUAGCAUCAAAGGAAGCUGCCCAAGUUGUGAGGAUACUUGAUCCUAAAAAGGCACAGAACCUGGCCAUAUCAUUGAAGGCGUUGAGUGUUUCAGCAGAGGAAGUUUCUUGUGCAGUUAAGGAAGGAAAUGAACUUCCAUCCGACUUGAUACAGACCUUAAUUAGAUGGGUCCCGAGUACUGAUGAGGAGCUCAGGCUUCGACUAUAUACUGGGGAACUCUCACAGCUUGGUCCUGCAGAGCAGUUCUUAAAAGCAAUCUUCGACAUUCCUUAUAUCUAUGAGCGCCUGGACGCAUUACUUUUCAUGGCUGGUUUACCAGAGGAAACUUCAAAUGUAAAGCAAUCUUUUGCCACCUUAGAGAUGGCUUGUGAGGAGCUUAAAAACAGCCGUCUAUUCUUGAAGUUACUAGAAGCUGUACUUAAAACAGGGAAUCGGAUGAAUGUUGGCACGUUCAGAGGAGGAGCUCAAGCGUUCAAACUAGACACCCUGCUCAAGCUUUCCGACGUCAAAGGAACUGAUGGGAAGAUAACGCUGCUGCAUUUUGUUGUUCAAGAGAUGAUCCAUUCUGAAGGUGUCCGUUCUGCACGGGCUGCAAAGGAGCAGACGGGCAGCGUAUCCAGUGUGGACAACAAUGAUCUUAUUGAAGAGGAAUAUAAACAACUAGGUCUGCAGGCUGUGUCCAGUUUAGGAGAUGAACUUCAAAAUGUCAGGAAUGCAGCAAUCCUUGAUGCAGAUCAGUUGGCUAUGUCGGUAGCAAGUGUCGUCCACAGGCUUGGCAAAACCAAAGAAUUCUUGAACACAAGCAUGAAAAGUCUGGAUGAAGAUAGUGGGUUUCACCGCAAGCUUGUGCAUUUCGUGGAGCAGUCUCAAACUGAUGUUACUUUCUUGCUAGAGGAAGAGAAGAAAAUACGGUCCUUGGUAAAGAGCACUGUCGAUUAUUUCCAUGGGAGGACAGGGAAGGAUGAGGGCCUUCGGUUAUUUGUCGUAGUGCGGGAUUUUCUCGCAAUGCUUGACAAGGUCUGCAAUGAGGUGAAAGAAGCAUCAAAAGUAACUCCAAAGAAAACGAAGACUGAAGUUACUCUGCCUUCCCACACACCCAGGUCUUUUCAAGAUCCCCGGCGUAGUUCCCACACACCCAGGUCUUCUCAAGAUCCCCGGCAUAACCUUUUUCCGGCAAUUCAAAACCGGAGGGCAGAUAGUUCAAGCUCUAGUUCUGAGGAGGGAAGUUAA
rnacentral:rRNA from 1 species